rnacentral:lncRNA from 1 species
CCAAUAUUUGUUUUGACAAUUUGUACAUUGUGAUAUUGCUUUAGACCAUUCUUUCCUUAAUCCAACCGUCAAACAUGGACACUCUGGUAUAGACAUCAGGAUUGUUCGAGGCACAGAAUGCAGUUCCAUAGGAGACGACGCCCACCUGUUUAUAGGACUCACCACUCUUCAUCACCAAAGGACCGCCAGAAUCGCCCUUAAAAAGCACCCUUGCCAAACCUUUCCAAGGCACAGAUCUCUGUGUCCGUCAGCUGGGUCAUCGUCUCCUUGCACUUGGAAUUGCUCAGUGUCUUGUAGUCGAGUUUCUGGAGUACAGUGGGAUAUUUGGCGAAAGGACCUGUGCCAAAGUGGAAGACAGAACCCCAUCCGGUGAGGAGAACCUCCUGAUCGGCACCUACCAUGUCCGAUCCACUGACGUCGAUGGUGGACACACGCUUCUCGUCCAGCUCAAAGGGCGGAUCGAUCUUGAGGAUGGCAAUGUCACUAGUCACCAGCUCCUGGUAGUUCUCGUUCAUCUCGUACGACUGCACCUGCGAUCGGAAGCCGGAGCUAUCGUUGAGAUCCCUAAUCCCAGCAACUACGCUAAUUCGACUGGCAUUCUGGCCAUUGACGCAGUGGGCAGCGGUAAGGACGCGAUUUGGGGCUAUCAGGGAUCCACCACAGAAGUGUCGCAUCUUUCCACUGCGGGUAAGAAACUGCAUGGACACCUGGUAGGGAACAUAUUCAUCCUCUGGCACAUCGUAACCGCCAACAACUCGCUCCUGGGAAUUAAGGUCUGCCUCCUCGAAAUACUUGUCCACUGCGAUAAUCGUGGAAAAAUGUAUACAGUACUCUUUGGUUAAGUUAUAAAUUUCACUUACAAUCG